rnacentral:rRNA from 1 species
AAACUCAAAGGAAUUGACGGGGACCCGCACAAGCGGUGGAUUAUGUGGAUUAAUUCGAUGCAACGCGAAAACCUGUACCUACCCUUGACAUGCUAGGAAGCUCGCAGAGAUGUGAGUGUGCCCGAAAGGGAACCUAGACACAGGUGCUGCAUGGCUGUCGUCAGCUCGUGUCGUGAGAUGUUGGGUUAAGUCCCGCAACGAGCGCAACCCUGGCCACUAGUUGCUACAUUCAGUUGGGCACUCUAAUGGGACCGCCGGUGACAAACCGGAGGAAGGUGGGAAUGACGUCAAGUCCUCAUGGCCCUUAUGGGUAGGGCUUCACACGUAAUACAAUGGCCGGUACAGAGGGCUGCCAACCCGCGAGGGGGAGCAAAAUCCCAGAAAGCCGGUCGUAGUCCGGAUUGUUCUCUGCAACUCGAGAGCAUGAGGUCGGAAUCGCUAGUAAUCGCGGAUCAGCAUGUCGCGGUGAAUACGUUCCCGGGUCUUGUACACACCGCCCGUCACACCAUGGGAGUGGGUUUCACCAGAAGUAGUUAGCCUAACCGCAAGGAGGGCGACUACCACGGUGAGAUUCAUGACUGGGGUG